AACGCUGGCGGCGCGCUUAACACAUGCAAGUCGAGCGAGAACCAGGGCUUCGGCCCUGGGGACAGCGGCGAACGGGUGAGUAACACGUGGGUAAUCUGCCCUCGGUUCUGGGAUAGCCCGGGGAAACCCGGAUUAAUACCGGAUAGCCUCUAGAGCCCUCGGGCUCGUGAGAAAAGGUAGCUUCGGCCUCCGACCGAGGAGGAGCCUGCGGCGGAUUAGCUUGUUGGCGGGGUAACGGCCCACCAAGGCGACGAUCCGUAGCUGGUCUGGGCGGACGAUCGGCCACACUGGGACUGAGACACGGCCCAGACUCCUACGGGAGGCAGCAGUGGGGAAUCUUGCGCAAUGGGCGAAAGCCUGACGCAGCGACGCCGCGUGAGGGAAGAAGGCCUUCGGGUUGUAAACCUCUUUCAGGAGGGACGAAGCCACUCGGGUUAAUAGCCCAGAGGGUGACGGUACCUCCAGAAGAAGCCCCGGCUAACUACGUGCCAGCAGCCGCCGUAAUAC
rnacentral:rRNA from 1 species